rnacentral:rRNA from 1 species
UACGUAGGGGGCAAGCGUUGUCCGGAUUUAUUGGGCGUAAAGAGCGUGUAGGCGGCCAUGCAGGUCAGCUGUGAAAACUCGAGGCUCAACCUCGAGACGUCGGCGGAAACCAUCUGGCUAGAGUCCGGAAGAGGAGAGUGGAAUUCCUGGUGUAGCGGUGAAAUGCGCAGAUAUCAGGAGGAACACCGGUGGCGAAGGCGGGUCUCUGGGCAAUAACUGACGCUGAGGAGCGAAAGCGUGGGGAGCGAACAGG